CUUAAAUUAAAAGUAAAUUUUUUCGAUUGAAAAAAAUAAAAAAAUAUAAUUGUUGAUGUAAAAAAAUAUAUAUAUACUUAGAAGUCAAAAUCUUAAAUUAAAAAAAUUUUUUCGAUUGAACGAGACUCAGAUUCUAAGGCCCCAUUUCUUUCUCUUUCCUUUUGACUGUUGAUGAGUUAGCCUUCCCGUAUAUUGGUGGAAAGAUUAGUGCUUGAUUUUGCUUCUUCCCGCCGGAGUGCUUGGUUUGGUUAAACCUGAUGGGAUUCCAAUGAUGAGAAAUAUUGGAGCUUUUAACCUUCAUCCGGGUGGCGUCAAUAGGAGGCUAUUCGGGUGUCUAGCCCACAACAUUUAGAUGUUCGGAAAGGAAGAAAAUGGAGAGUUGGAGAAAAAGUGCAGGAAAAGCU